rnacentral:rRNA from 1 species
GGGUUGUGAGGUUAAGCGACUAAGCGUACACGGUGGAUGCCCUGGCAGUCAGAGGCGAUGAAGGACGUGCUAAUCUGCGAAAAGCGUCGGUAAGGUGAUAUGAACCGUUAUAACCGGCGAUGUCCGAAUGGGGAAACCCAGUGCAAUUCGUUGCACUAUCGUUAACUGAAUACAUAGGUUAACGAGGCGAACCGGGGGAACUGAAACAUCUAAGUACCCCGAGGAAAAGAAAUCAACCGAGAUUCCCCCAGUAGCGGCGAGCGAACGGGGAGCAGCCCAGAGUCUGAAUCAGCUUGUGUGUUAGUGGAACGGUCUGGAAAGUCCGACGGUACAGGGUGAUAGUCCCGUACACCAAAAUGCACAGGCUGUGAACUCGAAGAGUAGGGCGGGACACGUGGUAUCCUGUCUGAAUAUGGGGGGACCAUCCUCCAAGGCUAAAUACUCCUGACUGACCGAUAGUGAACCAGUACCGUGAGGGAAAGGCGAAAAGAACCCCGGCGAGGGGAGUGAAAAAGAACCUGAAACCGUGUACGUACAAGCAGUGGGAGCACCUUCGGGUGUGACUGCGUACCUUUUGUAUAAUGGGUCAGCGACUUAUAUUCUGUAGCAAGGUUAACCGUAUAGGGGAGCCGCAGGGAAACCGAGUCUUAACUGGGCGUUAAGUUGCAGGGUAUAGACCCGAAACCCGGUGAUCUAGCCAUGGGCAGGUUGAAGGUUGGGUAACACUAACUGGAGGACCGAACCGACUAAUGUUGAAAAAUUAGCGGAUGACUUGUGGCUGGGGGUGAAAGGCCAAUCAAACCGGGAGAUAGCUGGUUCUCCCCGAAAGCUAUUUAGGUAGCGCCUCGUGAAUUCAUCUUCGGGGGUAGAGCACUGUUUCGGCUAGGGGGUCAUCCCGACUUACCAACCCGAUGCAAACUACGAAUACCGAAGAAUGUUAUCACGGGAGACACACGGCGGGUGCUAACGUCCGUCGUGAAGAGGGAAACAACCCAGACCGCCAGCUAAGGUCCCAAAGUCAUGGUUAAGUGGGAAACGAUGUGGGAAGGCACAGACAGCCAGGAUGUUGGCUUAGAAGCAGCCAUCAUUUAAAGAAAGCGUAAUAGCUCACUGGUCGAGUCGGCCUGCGCGGAAGAUGUAACGGGGCUAAACCAUGCACCGAAGCUGCGGCAGCGACACUAUGUGUUGUUGGGUAGGGGAGCGUUCUGUAAGCCUGCGAAGGUGUGCUGUGAGGCAUGCUGGAGGUAUCAGAAGUGCGAAUGCUGACAUAAGUAACGAUAAAGCGGGUGAAAAGCCCGCUCGCCGGAAGACCAAGGGUUCCUGUCCAACGUUAAUCGGGGCAGGGUGAGUCGACCCCUAAGGCGAGGCCGAAAGGCGUAGUCGAUGGGAAACAGGUUAAUAUUCCUGUACUUGGUGUUACUGCGAAGGGGGGACGGAGAAGGCUAUGUUAGCCGGGCGACGGUUGUCCCGGUUUAAGCAUGUAGGCUGGUUGUCCAGGCAAAUCCGGAUAAUCAAGGCUGAGGUGUGAUGACGAGGCACUACGGUGCUGAAGUAACAAAUGCCCUGCUUCCAGGAAAAGCCUCUAAGCAUCAGGUAACAUCAAAUCGUACCCCAAACCGACACAGGUGGUCAGGUAGAGAAUACCAAGGCGCUUGAGAGAACUCGGGUGAAGGAACUAGGCAAAAUGGUGCCGUAACUUCGGGAGAAGGCACGCUGGUGUGUAGGUGAAGCCCCUGCGGGUGGAGCUGAGACCAGUCGAAGAUACCAGCUGGCUGCAACUGUUUAUUAAAAACACAGCACUGUGCAAACACGAAAGUGGACGUAUACGGUGUGACGCCUGCCCGGUGCCGGAAGGUUAAUUGAUGGGGUUAUCCGUAAGGAGAAGCUCUUGAUCGAAGCCCCGGUAAACGGCGGCCGUAACUAUAACGGUCCUAAGGUAGCGAAAUUCCUUGUCGGGUAAGUUCCGACCUGCACGAAUGGCGUAAUGAUGGCCAGGCUGUCUCCACCCGAGACUCAGUGAAAUUGAACUCGCUGUGAAGAUGCAGUGUACCCGCGGCAAGACGGAAAGACCCCGUGAACCUUUACUAUAGCUUGACACUGAACAUUGAGCCUUGAUGUGUAGGAUAGGUGGGAGGCUUUGAAGCGUGGACGCCAGUCUGCGUGGAGCCAACCUUGAAAUACCACCCUUUAAUGUUUGAUGUUCUAACGUUGGCCCCUUACCGGGGUUGCGGACAGUGUCUGGUGGGUAGUUUGACUGGGGCGGUCUCCUCCCAAAGCGUAACGGAGGAGCACGAAGGUUAGCUAAUCCUGGUCGGACAUCAGGAGGUUAGUGCAAUGGCAUAAGCUAGCUUGACUGCGAGCGUGACGGCGCGAGCAGGUGCGAAAGCAGGUCAUAGUGAUCCGGUGGUUCUGAAUGGAAGGGCCAUCGCUCAACGGAUAAAAGGUACUCCGGGGAUAACAGGCUGAUACCGCCCAAGAGUUCAUAUCGACGGCGGUGUUUGGCACCUCGAUGUCGGCUCAUCACAUCCUGGGGCUGAAGUAGGUCCCAAGGGUAUGGCUGUUCGCCAUUUAAAGUGGUACGCGAGCUGGGUUUAGAACGUCGUGAGACAGUUCGGUCCCUAUCUGCCGUGGGCGCUGGAGAAUUGAGGGGGGCUGCUCCUAGUACGAGAGGACCGGAGUGGACGCAUCACUGGUGUUCGGGUUGUCAUGCCAAUGGCACUGCCCGGUAGCUAAAUGCGGAAGAGAUAAGUGCUGAAAGCAUCUAAGCACGAAACUUGCCCCGAGAUGAGUUCUCCCUGAGACUUUAAGUCUCCUGAAGGAACGUUGAAGACGACGACGUUGAUAGGCCGGGUGUGUAAGCGCAGCGAUGCGUUGAGCUAACCGGUACUAAUGAACCGUGAGGCUUAACCUUACAACGCCGAAG